UACGGAGGGUGCAAGCGUUACUCGGAAUCACUGGGCGUAAAGGACGCGUAGGCUGGUUAGAAAGUCAGGUGUGAAAUCCUACAGCUCAACUGUAGAACUGCACUUGAAACUUCUAACCUAGAGUAUGGGAGGGGCAGAUGGAAUUAGUGGUGUAGGGGUGAAAUGCGUAGAGAUCACUAGGAACACCGAAAGCGAAGGCGAGCUGCUGGAACAUAACUGACGCUAAGGCGUGAAAGCGUGGGGAGCAAACAGG
rnacentral:rRNA from 1 species